UACGUAGGGGGCAAGCGUUGUCCGGAUUUAUUGGGCGUAAAGAGCGUGUAGGCGGCCAGACAGGUCCGUUGUGAAAACUCGAGGCUCAACCUCGAGAUGUCGAUGGAAACCGUCUGGCUAGAGUCCGGAAGAGGAGUGUGGAAUUCCUGGUGUAGCGGUGAAAUGCGCAGAUAUCAGGAAGAACACCGACGGCGAAGGCAGCUCGCUGGGACGGUACUGACGCUGAGGCGCGAAAGCGUGGGGAGCGAACAGG
rnacentral:rRNA from 1 species